GUGUGUCCAUGCAGUUCAAACAAAGGCUGUUGGGGUUGUUUUUGGACUGAAAGGGAAUAAGUAUCCAAAACUUUUACUGGCCACCAUAUAUUGUGAGUAGGGUACAGAGGAAUUUGAAUAGUGUGUCCUUCGGUGCUGGUUUUUUAUUGUCUUAGGGAGAGAAUGUAAUGGUCGGUAUGUUUUUGUAAAUCAUUAGUUCUUAGGUAAUUGUGUGUUGUGAUGGUCCUGGUUGUAAAUUCACUGGGACGUAGGAACCCCUAAAAAGCGAGAUAUAGGGCUGUUUUUAUUAUGUUAUUGGUCAUGGGUUCAAAAGGAGACGAAUCUCAUAAGUUGGAUAGAGAGUGGA